ensembl:snRNA U6 U6 spliceosomal RNA
GUGCUCACCUCCGCAGCACGUAUUCUAAAACUGGAACAAUACAGAGAAGAUUUGCAUGGCCCCUGCGCCAGGAUGACAUGCAGAUUCGUGAAGCAUUCCAUAUUUUU